GCGUGGGUGAUGAAGGCCUUCGGGUUGUAAAGCCCUUUUGGCGGGGACGAUGAUGACGGUACCCGCAGAAGAAGCCCCGGCUAACUUCGUGCCAGCAGCCGCGGUAAUACGAAGGGGGCUAGCGUUGUUCGGAAUUACUGGGCGUAAAGGGCGCGUAGGUGGCUUUGAUAGUCGGGUGUGAAAUGCCUGGGCUUAACCCAGGAACUGCACUCGAAACUCCAAGGCUUGAGUGUGGGAGAGGUUGGUGGAAUUCCCAGUGUAGAGGUGAAAUUCGU
rnacentral:rRNA from 1 species